rnacentral:tRNA from 1 species
GGUUAUAUAGCUCAGUGGUAGAGUGCUUACUUUGUAUAUGUAAGGUCUUGGGUUUAAUCCCCAGUAUCAAUG